UAUAAACCUAUGAUGAGGACUAGUAAUUAUUUUCUUUGGUUAAGAGAGUCGGUGGCUUGGUGUAAACCGAUACAAGGGAUUAAUGAAUCCACCUUUGAGGGACUGUGAUGAACAGUACCGUUUGCUGCGGUUAAUAGCAUUAAAGAGGAUUAGUUAUACUAAUCAACUUAGGUGGCAACGCGGAAUGAUAUAACCUUUCGUCCUAUAU
rnacentral:ncRNA from 1 species